AUUGAACGCUGGCGGCAGGCUUAACACAUGCAAGUCGAGCGGAGAUGAGGUGCUUGCACCUUAUCUUAGCGGCGGACGGGUGAGUAAUGCUUAGGAAUCUGCCUAUUAGUGGGGGACAACAUUCCGAAAGGAAUGCUAAUACCGCAUACGUCCUACGGGAGAAAGCAGGGGAUCUUCGGACCUUGCGCUAAUAGAUGAGCCUAAGUCGGAUUAGCUAGUUGGUGGGGUAAAGGCCUACCAAGGCGACAAUCUGUAGCGGGUCUGAGAGGAUGAUCCGGCACACUGGGACUGAGACACGGCCCAGACUCCUACGGGAGGCAGCAGUGGGGAAUAUUGGACAAUGGGGGGAACCCUGAUCCAGCCAUGCCGCGUGUGUGAAGAAGGCCUUAUGGUUGUAAAGCACUUUAAGCGAGGAGGAGGCUACUGAGACUAAUACUCUUGGAUAGUGGACGUUACUCGCAGAAUAAGCACCGGCUAACUCUGUGCCAGCAGCCGCGGUAA
rnacentral:rRNA from 1 species